CGCAGCCGCGGUAAUUCCAGCUCCAAUAGCGUAUAUUAAAGUUGCUGCAGUUAAAAAGCUCGUAGUUGAAUUUCGGGACCAAUAUGUUGGUCGUGCCUCGGUACGUACUGGCAUUGUUGGUUUCUACCUUCUGACGAACCAUGAUGUCAUUAAUUUGGUGUCUUGGGGAAUCAGGACUGUUACUUUGAAAAAAUUAGAGUGUUUAAAGCAGGCUCACGCUUGAAUACAUUAGCAUGGAAUAAUGAAAUAGGACGUUUGAUUCUAUUUUGUUGGUUUCUAGGAUCGACGUAAUGAUUAAUAGGGAUAGUUGGGGGCAUUAGUAUUCAAUUGUCAGAGGUGAAAUUCUUGGAUUUAUUGAAGACUAACUACUGCGAAAGCAUUUGCCAAGGAUGUUUUCAUUAAUCAAGAACGAAAGUUAGGGGAUCGAAGACGAUCAGAUACCGUCGUAGUCUUAACCAUAAACUAUGCCGACUAGGGAUCGGAUGAUGUUAAUUUUUAAUGUACUCAUUCGGCGCCUUAA
rnacentral:rRNA from 1 species